rnacentral:misc_RNA from 1 species
UUGCAAUUGACGACCCAGGA